rnacentral:rRNA from 1 species
CGGGAAUAUUGGACAAUGGGGGCAACCCUGAUCCAGCAAUACCGCGUGUGUGAAGAAGGCCUUCGGGUUGUAAAGUUCUGUCAAUUGGGAAGAAACCUCUGAGGUCAAUAGCCUUAGAGAUGACGGUACCUAAGAAGGAAGCUCCGGCUAACUACGUGCCAGCAGCCGCGGUAAUACGUAGGGAGCAAGCGUUAUCCGGAAUUACUGGGCGUAAAGGGCGUGUAGGCGGCUACUUAAGCCAGAUGUUAAAUGUUACAGCUCAACUGUAAAGCUGCAUCUGGAACUGGGUAGCUAGAGGACGAGAGAGGAAAGUGGAAUUCCUAGUGUAGCGGUGGAAUGCGUAGAUAUUAGGAGGAACACCAGUGGCGAAGGCGGCUUUCUGGCUCGUACCUGACGCUGAGGCGCGAAAGCGUGGGGAGCAAAC